AUAGCAAAGACUAAUAUAUAAUUUUAUUAAAAUAUCAAUCCUUAAAUAAGUGAAUCUUAAAAAUAUAAGACUAAUAUGUAAAUUUUGUUAAAUUUUAAAGAGUAAAUUAUAAUUUUCCCUGGCAGCGUGUAAGUAAUUUUCUAUUUUUCCUAAUGGCGCAUAGUUUGGGUCACUUCUUGUCAUAAAGUUAACGUUAAGACUCUACUUGAAAAAUACACAAAACUAUAGGGUAGUAUUUUGUAAUUUCCCAAAAAAUAAUAUAUUUCAUACUCAGAAAAUUUUAAUUAUUUUUUAAUAUAUAAAAAAUAAAUCUCACGUAAGGCCCACAGUAUAUCCGCCUCAAGGCCCUCAAUUGGAUUUUGCGAUUCACAGCGAAGGGAAGAAGCGGAAGAAGUAAAAGCCCUAAUCUACUUUCUCAUAUUUUCUUCCUCUUUAAACAUGUCACGACGAGAACGAGAUGCUCGCGAUUCCGAUUCUAGACGACACCGUUCAGGCUUCGACAGAGAACCCAGUCCCAAGAGGUCUAGGAGGGAUGGAAAACCAGAGACAGAGAGAGUUCCUAGCAACACCAACUUGGAUGUUGAAGAUCAUGCAGAUCGGGAUCAAAAGCAUCGCAGGCGGCUGCAAGAUGCAUUACCUCUUGAGGCUCCUUCAGCACCUGAUUCCAAGGUAGAGUCUGGUGCUGUCAGCAAGGAAUCUGACAAGAAACCCAAUGGACAUCAUGAAGGAAGCAAGCAUUCUGAUCCAACUGAAGUACCUCGGUCUCGAUCUUAUUUUCAGGUGUUCAUCACUUAUGAGUACGCGUUACUUUCAGUUAUUCUAGUUUGAUUUUCUUAAAAUUUAUCUCAUUAUCUUGCUAUUUAUUGAUGGACUAAUCUCUGGCUUGUCAUUUUUUGGAUACAAUAUCUUACAAUUUGAAGUUGUCUGAUCUUUGUCUUGGACAUAACAUCUUACAAACUAUUGAUACUGAAAAUUCCAAUGCUCUGAUAAUGAUUUUCUAAAGAACAUUUUUAUUUCUUGUUAUCUUAUCUCUCCAUAUGAUUUUUUUAGCAAUACCCAAAACUCAUCUCUGUGUGCGUUAAUCCUCUUGUUUUUAAGGCAAGGAGGUUUAUUUGCUGACUUUAAGUGCAUCCCUAGCUUAGUGGCAUGGUCUGGGACUUGAUAUUGUCCAUACCUUUCGGCUAUGGUUUAAUUGUUUUGUGUUUCCGUGGUGAGUGGACAACAAACUCUUUUGGCUUUUUGAAAAAUUGCCUUUGAUAUCUAACCAAACAUUGGUUUUUCGCCUUUUGCUUCUAAAUAACAAAAUGCAAGAAAACAGAACUUUAGUAAGGUGACGAAUGGGGCCUUUAUUUGAAACAAAAUAGGGCAAUUUAAUUGUCAAGUGACAUCAAAUAGUUCCCUUUCUGGAAACACUUAAAUGAGCCAAUUUUCCAAUACCAGAUUAUGGUAUUUAAUAAAUAACUCAUGUAUUGUAUUAUCAAAAGAAUGUAGAAGCUAACAUGUGUCAUGAAUUCUUCCAAAUGAGUGGAAGUAAAUGACUCGGGUGUAUGCUGAAACGCAUUGGGGUGGACCUUUAAUAUCGUGAUGAUAUAUGUGCAUCUUUUUGCAUGUGGGGCCAAAAGAAUAGGAUGAAUAUUUUCCACACCCACGCUCCAUAUUGAUCAUAUGUAUUAAUAAAUGAGGAGAGUUUCUCUGGAUCUUAAUCACUUGGUUUUCAUUCAGUGUAUGCAAUUGCAAACCUUUUUUUCUGGGCUGAUGUAGUGGGAUUGUUGUCCGGUCCAGCCCAUGCCUUCGAAAGCCUCCAUGUAUAUAACAAUCUUAGGCUUGCCUGUGCAUGUCUUUUAACAGCACGAUGAGCGUGGUAAUGCCGCGCAAGUUGGUCGAAACUUUGGUCGGAGAGCAGCUACCGGUGAGUUCUAUUUCUUAUUUUUAAUUUUUUACUACUUUUUCCUAAAUAUAUUUUUAAUAUUGGCUUUCUGUUAUGUUCUUUUUUUAGAACUGGUAUAUAAUGCUGUAAGGAUAUUACUGUGUAUGCCAACCUUUUGCAACAAAUGCACAUUAUUAUUUCUACCUUUUUGGGUGAUGGUGAACAUAACACGUUGGGGUUUUUUGUGUGGUUUCUCUCCUUUUUUAUUCCUACUGGAAUUUAUUUUAUUCCUUUUAUUGUUUUGUUUUUUGUUUGUACAUAGGUUGAUCCUAUCACUUGUUUCGUUUUUUUUAAGUUCAAUGUUAAAUUCUGUAGUCGGCUAAUGGGAUUUGCUUGUUAAAUGUUCUCAAGUUGUCUUCUCCUUAAGUCAUAUGCCAGCACUACCGUUUCCACAUGUUGAGCCUCAUGUUUUUGGCAUUUGGAGGCUUCUAGUAAUGAUCCUAAAAUUACUUUAAGUUGAAUUACUUGUAAUUUUCACCUAUGUAACAAAGGUGCAUAGAGGACAUGGAAUACAAGAGUUCAAUGGUCCAUGUCCAUGACUCUUAUUUAAACAUUGAGUCAUGACUUUUACUUUAUUGUUUGCUUUGUGAAAAUAUUGUUAAUUUGUUAUUCACACACCAGAUUAUGGUAUUUAUAACGUAGUAUCAUGCAUAUUUAUUUUUGACUGGAAGCUUCAAUUUUGAAGAUGAUCACUGACUGUUCCAUUCUUUUGAAGAGCGUCAAUGGAGGGAUUCAAAGGAUGUCGGAAAUGAAAGAGCAAUGGACAAGUCAUCAAGUUAUGAUUCACGGCAAAGGGAUGAGAAAGCACAAGCUAAAGGGGGUGACAAUGUCUGGCGCCAUGAUGGUUUCUUCAAAAUGGAGGCUGAACCAGCACCACCUGUGAGGAAAAGACCUGCAUUUAGGGAGAAGAAAAUUCCAGUGGACUCUGAAAAUGCUGAGAAAGCAGCUAGUGAGCCCGUGAGACUGGGUCAUCCUGAUCGUCACACAUCGGUGAGUGAAAGGAGGGAGGAAAGAGAUCGUAACCCCCGCCAUUCUGACAGAUAUGAGAGGCCAGUGUUAGGAGACAAGAAAGAACCACAGAGGGGUAGCCUCCUUUCAAGGGAAAGAUACACUAGUGGUGGUGGUGGCGGCAAUUACAGGGGAAGAGAGAGAUCUAGCGUAAGGCAAGUUUAUCGCCCAAGUGGUGCUCGAGUAGAAAAAUGGAAGCAUGAUUUGUAUGAUGAGGCUAAUAGGAGUCCAACCACAAAGAAUGAGGAGGAUCAGAUUGCAAAAAUUGAGGAACUCUUGGCUUCAUAACUACAAGGAUGGAGUUCUUGAUCUGCAUAAUGUGGUCUGUCUGGUUCAUUUAGAACUGAGGGAAAAUUUUAUAUUUACCAUUUGAUAUUUUGGCUUUUCUAAGACAUUUUGAGCACGGGGUUGGAAUUGGAAUCCCUUGUGUUUGUGACUUCAAUUUCCAUCAUUGAAUUGGCCUAUCUGCAUAGUAACAUUAAAUUUACUAUUUGCUUUGAGGUAUUUCACAUAUGAUGCUAAUUACCAAAUUUCAGGUAAUUGUUAGCUUUUGCUAUUGAUUGGGAUUAAGGCUUAGUUGAUGUUGUGG
rnacentral:misc_RNA from 1 species